rnacentral:misc_RNA from 1 species
AACACCAUCAAACACCUCCAAGAGGGGAGGGUUGUUUUGGAUUUGAGUGUCGCCGAGAAAACUUAACCCUUUUUGCGGCCCGCUCGAAAUGCAAGUACACAGGACAGGAAUCCCAGAACCCCCCGAGGUGUGAAACAAAAAAGCGUCGUAGUUGACUUGAUUGUCUUCUUUCGCUGAAAAAGAACACCCGGUUUUUGGGACCUUUGCUGUGCAAAUUCGCAGGAAGAUAACGAAUAUUCUUUAUCACU